UAGUUCAGUAUCACACACUUUAAUUUAUUUUGUUAUUUAGGCAGCGGAACUUUGUUUUGUAAAUCACUGACUCAUUACGUUGUUCCUGAUUGCCUGGUUUCAAGGCUGUUUCUUGAAAUACUUGAGAGUGCAGAACUACAAGGAGUAAUUUUCUUUGAAACAGUGGUUAAUUAUGUCCAGCAUCAAGGAGGGAGAAAACUUCAAUCUCAAUUAAAAGAUAUUGUGAACAAUAACAGGCAACAGAGCAUCAUAUUCAGUAAUGAGUUCUGUGAUGGGGCUUAUGU